rnacentral:rRNA from 1 species
CCCGAAGUCCGUGAGGUAACCGUAAGGAACCAGCGGCCGAAGGUGGGAUUAGUGAUUGGGGUGAAGUCGUAACAAGGUAGCCGUAGGAGAACCUGCGGCUGGAUCACCUCCUUUCUAAGGAGA